rnacentral:misc_RNA from 1 species
GAAAUGCGAUAAGUAAUGCGAAUUGCAUAAUUCCGCGAGUCAUCGAAUCUUUGAACGCAAAUUGCGCUCUCGGGUAUUCCUGAGAGCAUAUCUGUUUGAGUAUCAGUAACUCUCUCACUAACUAACCUUGGUUGGAAAGUGGUAUUGAGCUUCAAGACCUUUUUUUAGGUUUUGUUGCUUGGAAUAGAGUCGGCAUUGGCUAAAGGAAAGCUUUCUUGGCAAAAGCAAGCUAAAGAACAGUUCGUUCUAUUUUGCUUUUUACUUGAAUGCGGAUUUAGACGGUGUUGUCAAAAAACUACAAGUUUCGACUUGUGAACUUGAUCUCAAAUCAGAUAAGACUACCCGCUGAACUUAA